GCUUGCUGUUUGAAUGAAUCUAUGCAUGGUGUGACCUUUGGAUCAGUAGCCUUUAGGAGCAUCUGAAAUGAUAUCUUCAGCUUCUUGGAGCUUCCAGUGUUGCUUGGCAUGAAUGACAUAUCUGGUGGGAACACACUGGACACUUGGAGCAUUUUACCUUCAUUCUCAGUGCACCAGGAGCCAUAUGAACAGAAGUACCAGGUCUACAUUAGGCUUUUCAAGAGCUGUGUGACCUUUGAGAUGUGGUCAUUUUCUUCUCCCAGGAGAAAUGGGAAAUCCUUAGUGCAGCUCAGAGGUUCCUGUACCUCCAUGUGAUGCUGGAGAACUUUGCAGUUGUAUUCUUCAUAGGUAAGU